rnacentral:rRNA from 1 species
UACGAGGGGGGCAAAUGUUGUUCGGAAUCACUGGGCGUAAAGGGAGCGUAGGCGGGCUUUUAAGUUAGGUGUUUAAUCCCGGGGCCCAACCCCGGUCAUGCACCUAAAACUGGAAGUCUUGAAUAGUGGAGAGGUCAGUGGAAUUGGAGGUGUAGCGGUGGAAUGCGUAGAGAUCUCCAAGAACACCAGUUGCGAAGGCGGCUGACUGGACACAUAUUGACGCUGAGGCUCGAAAGCAUGGGGAGCAAACAGG